CCUACGGGCGGCAGCAGUGAGGAAUAUUGGUCAAUGGACGAGAGUCUGAACCAGCCAAGUAGCGUGAAGGAUGACUGCCCUAUGGGUUGUAAACUUCUUUUAUAUGGGAAUAAAAUGUUCCACGUGUGGGAGUUUGUAUGUACCAUAUGAAUAAGGAUCGGCUAACUCCGUGCCAGCAGCAGCGGUAAUACGGAGGAUCCGAGCGUUAUCCGGAUUUAUUGGGUUUAAAGGGAGCGUAGUGGGCUGGUUAAGUCAGUUGUGAAAGUUUGCGGCUCAACCGUAAAAUUGCAGUUGAAACUGGGAGUCUUGAGUACAGUAGAGGUGGGCGGAAUUCGUGGUGUAGCGGUGAAAUGCUUAGAUAUCACGAAGAACUCCGAUUGCGAAGGCAGUUCACUGGACUGCAACUGACACUGAGGCUCGAAAGUGUGGGUAUCAAACAGGAUUAGAUACCCGGGUAGUC
rnacentral:rRNA from 1 species